GGGGCCGUUUAUUUCCCCGCCCUGUGGCUAUGGCUUCGCUUCCCAGAUCCAAGAUGGCCGCCGGGCUGGAGGCUCAACGGAAGGGAGGGAACAGGCGCUCUGUAAUCACGCUCACCGCAGCCUCUAUGUGUUCUACAGCUCUGAAUUCCAGCACUUGCCUACAUGUGCGCCAACUGCCAUUAGGUGGAGGGAGUAGCUGGAGCAGAUUGGCAGAGUUGUUGCUGUGAAAGAUGAGAGGUGAUCUUGCCUCAGGGAUUGCCAUCAGUCUGGUAACAUAAAUGUCAGCGGUCUCCAGGGAUCAAUGAGAGGGCCACAUCCACCCUGAUUGAAUUGACCUCAUUAGCACUGACCCCCCACUUGGGAGCUGGUGCCAGAAUACAACAAACAGGCUAAUCAAUAGAGACUUAACUGUCAGCUGGCUACAUUUAGAGACAGUACCGGCACAGACAGGAAACAGGGAACUCCAUAGCUGCGGAAAUAUGUAAGUAAAAUGGUAAUAAGAGAAAAACCAAAACCAAAGUAAACACCCUCAAUCACAGUGCAACACCUGCUGGAAAUAUUUAAAAAGGUUACAUUCCUCCCGUAAGGCUUGGAGAAUUUCCUGAGAGGAAGCAAAAAAGUGUUUAGUCAUUUUUAAGGGAUCAGAAAAAAUUUGUCUCUCUGCAUAAUCAAUUCUUAGGAUGUUUCCUUUCUCAAGAGCUUAUGCUGCUAAGACUUUACAGAGGAUCUCAGAGCAUUUUACAAACACUUCAGCCUGACAACACUCCCCAGAGAUGAACAUUAUCCCUUAUUUACCAGAUGGGUAGGUUAAGUGACAUGCUCAAAAUCGGGGGCAGAAUGCAACCCAGAAACCAUGGUUCCCAGUUGUCUGCACUUAAUCACUAGCCUAGAUUCCCUCAUAUGAAAGCAUCAGACAGAGGAAGAUCAGCAGGAGAGAUUUCCUAUCUUUAUCUUACCUUGGAUUGGUUUAUUUGUUUAUUAAGUUUGCUUUGAUGGCACCAAACAGGCUAUUUGAAAAGUACUGUCCUCCAAAUGAGAGGCUCUCUCCUAUAUUUAUGUAGCUACCUCCAAGCACAUUUUUCUACCAGAGCAGUGAGACAGCAUAACCUGCUCCACUUUUAAAGUGGGAAAAAUUCCCCAAGUGUAACUAGCCAGAGGAUCUGUUAACAUCCAAUAGCCUGCGAAGGCUGGAAAAUCUUACUGGUGGGAACUGCAGCCAAAGAUUAGGAUCAAAAUAAAACUGGAGCAGUUUCAUGUUGAGCACAUAGGACUCGUUACCUCGAAAGAAGGUCAGAGGCACAGGGCUAGCUGGAAUCCAUCUCGCAUACGGACUCAGGACCAUAUCCACAAAGGUAUUUAGAAAGGUAAUGCCCCUGGGAUCUGGGCCUUGGGGGGCAGGGAAGAGAGAGAGCUCACUAACCAUGAGAUUUGGAUAUAGGAGUCUUAGGCUAUGUCGACACAGCAACUAGACAUCUGCAAACUCGGGCUCACAGGGAUCAGGCUGUGGGGCUGUUUCAUUGCUAUGUAGACUUCUGGACUUGGACUGCAGCCCAAGCACUGGGACUCUCCUACUGCGCAGGUUCUAGAGCCUUAGGGUUUGCAAGGGAGAGCGAACCAUCAAGCCUUUUGCAAAGCCAGCUGCUUCCAACUUCCUGUAGCGUGCAGGGCGGGCAGUGAAGUGUUCCCACAGUGCACCACAGUCCUUGGGCUAGAGUGGCCACAUUUGGGGUGGAGGUGGGGCACCAGGGCCACUGGUCUGCAUGCUGCAGUGUGGAUGCCAGAGGCCUAGAUUCAAGCACAGGUUAGAAAAGUCUUAACAUAGGGUUAAACACAAUGUAGACGCUCAAGCGCAGAGUUCCCUAACACAGGGCAGCUGACUGGAGUCCCACUAACCGUGGGCUUACACUGCAGUGUAGAAUACCCUGUGGUCACCAGUCUUACAACGCUGUCCAUUCUUCCUUUAGAGCCCAAACUGCUCUCACGAUACAGGGAGCUCCCUUUAGCAGAGGCAGAGCACCCUGCUCUAUAUCCUCGCUCUAAGCUCAGAAAUGCCCUCACACAGAGACUCCUUGGAGGCUGGUUCUCCUCUCACAUCUGUUGACACCACAGAGCCAGUGGAGUUACAGGUGUAGGCGAGAUCAGAAUCAGGCCAACUGACAAUCUUUCUCCUUCCUCCUCUGGUUAAUAAUUAGAGGGAUGGGUGCCCUGGAAUGACAAUUAGCGUACUAGUCCUGGUAGUUUUUCAGUCACUCCCUCUGUCCGGUCUCAUUCCGCUUGCCCUGGGUUAAUUUCUCCUUGUCACCAGCACUUGUGCUCUACCUGUCUGAAUCGGGGCAUAGCCUCUUGCUGCAGGAUCCCAGCCCAUCACGCUGUUCUCUGGGCCACACCCAUACAGCUCAGCUUAGGGAAGUUUGCUUCUUUCCAGCUUUUUUUUUUAAAUCUGUCAACCACUAGCCCCCUUCCUCCUCACCCCCCCGGCCCAGUCACCAAGGUCUUCUGUGCCAACUCUCUGUCGCUGCUCUGUCCUAAACGACUCCUGUAUUAUUAGUAGCAGCACCAGCCGAGCAAACUCCUUCCCUGGGGUGGAUUUCACUGGGGGAAAUCCACAGCUCUCUGGCCUCCGGGCACUGACACUGCUUCCCCAGGAACGUCCUGGUUUUUCAGGGGUCCCAACAGACUGCACUGAAACCAGGGUUUUGAUGCGCACGCACAUCAGAAUCAGAGGGGUCCCAGAGUCUGCAGUCCAGAAAGUGCUGGAAGCCCACAGAGGGUCUCAUAGGGAAAAGGAAACAGGCAGCUGCAUAGAAAGAAAGGAGCUGCCAGGGGAACAGGAGGCUUAAAGAUGCAGGUGGGAGAAAGCCCUUUGCCUCAGUAACAACCCCAGCACUCCCCCGCGUUCUUCACGCCCCCUUCAGUGACACUGGGGCUCUUAACCAACCUGCAGCAGCUCAGGAUCCUCACAAGCUCCAGCUGCCUCGACAAUCCUGCUUUCCUUUUCCCUGCUCAGCCAGCCCCCCCUCGCCCAGUCACUGCUGGACAAGACGCCCCAAGCCCAGCCUGAGACGCCUCCCCCAGCAGCAGUAUUGUUAAUCCUGGGGGUGUCGCACACUUCACAGCCUGUGUUGGUGGAGCUCCCUGCACACACCAGAAGCUCUUUGCAUCCCCCCAUUGCCCUGUGGGCCACCCUCCCAUUGCAGGACUCCCUACAGCUCCUGCCAAUCUUUCGGGGGUUCUGUGUGCCCCUCUUCCCCCCCUGCCCACACCAGGGUCCCCUCUUCUCUCCCUCGUGCCAGGGAGCUAUGUGCACCCUCAUUCCCCUCACACCAGGGACCCAAUCUCCCCACAAUGACAGGGGCUCUGUUCCCCCAUUUUCCCCUGGAUCCCCUUUCUUUCCACCACACCAGGGCCUCUCUCCACCUUCCCCCCCCAUAGCUCCUCCAUUUUCCCCACGUUAUCAGGGGCUCUGUCUCUCCCCCCCAGCC